rnacentral:misc_RNA from 1 species
GUAGGUGAACCUGCGGAAGGAUCAUUCAUAAUAAGUGUUUUAUGGCACUUUUUUAAAUCCAUAUCCACCUUGUGUGCAAUGUCAGGGUUGAUUUUUCUCUCGAGAGGAUCAACCCCAAACAUCAACUAUAUCUCAACUCUUUGUCUGAAAAAUAUUAUGAAUAAAACAAUUCAAAAUACAACUUUCAACAACGGAUCUCUUGGCUCUC